ensembl:lncRNA
UGAUACAGACAGAGAACCUCGGUAAUUUACAAUUCUUUUUUAUGUGGAGUGAGAGAAAGAGACUAUAAUUUUGCUACUAAUAAAGUUAUCCAUAUUUAUUCUCAAGAUUUGAGGGUUUAUCUUCGUUCAUAUUUCUUGCGGUCGUAACCUUGAAGGCUCUGUGAGAUCGCAGGUUUGUAAUUAGAAAACAGCUCAAUUCGCACGUCUCUUUGGAAACACCGAGAGUUUCAUUCCGCCCUGCAAAAUUUGUCGGUAACCAAGCACGAGAAGAAAGCUCCAUAUAGUCAUUCACCUUCUAAGAAUCGUUUCAGAGGCGCAAGGGAAACACAUACGUGUUUAUGAAAGAACGGAAUAGAGAAAGGGCAGAAGAAAACGAAAGCAAGCGCACGGUCCGCGCCGCAGGAACCCCGGGAAGGCGCGGGAGCCGGCGAGGCUUGUUGCGCACAACAGACGGGAAGCCGCAAUUCGCUGCUGGGCUGCUCACCACGGCCUGCGGCCCGGAUGAGAGCAGGACGCGAGCCGUAGCGGCGGGUUAGGGGCAGGCAGCACCCAACCUCCGGUCCGCCACCCGCUCGUCGUGCCGUCUGUCCGUCACGGGCCCCAGUGCGCAGCGCUCCCGGCUCGCGCGUUUUCUCGGUCCGCCGCCUCCACCUCUGCUCCCGGAGAGCCUGGCCGCGCUGCGGACAAGCCGUUAGUUCACCAGGCCCCAAGUUCACGGGCGCCGCGCGGGUUCCGCUGGCGUGCGCACCAGCUGGGCUCAGGCCCCAGGCUGCGGCGGUGCUGGAAUCCUCGGCCCCGGCUGGAGAGAACACGCCGGGCAACCGUAGGCUCGAGCCCCGGCGGGGGGGCCCCCCUGAGCCUCAAGGCCGCGGGUGAUCCGGGAAGAAACCAAGCGCCCGUUCUCUUUGAUCUGGUUUUAUAGAGAUUUGAUGUUGACAUUAAACUUUGAAUGCUUUUAUCUAUUUCGAUCUCUCUCUUAUUCUUAUUUUGGGCGGGGCCUCCUGUGCCAGAGCUAAGGGCUGGCGAGGGCACGCGGGCGGGACGGGCACCGGGGUCGACAGGGCGGGCACCGUGGUCGGCUGGACGAGCACAGAGGUCGGCGGGCCCAGAGGUGACAUGGCGAUGCGAGAGGAACGCUGGACGUAUCCACCUACCCACAUCCACAUGCAAUUCCCGAUCGCCCCACGUAUCCCUCCGUCCCCCACUCGCACGCCAGACCGCUCUCUCCAUCAGCAACGCCGGCGCGGAAGGCCGAGCAGAAUUGAGACGCCGCGGAGAGACCAAGGCUCGGAGGGGCGCAGAGCGCGGAGACCGGGAGUAACUGGGAGCCGCCGCCGCAACUCCGGUCUCCCUCCGCAGCCUCUGUACCCAUGCCGAGAGGCUCAAUUACUUUCAGGUUAUGGACCCCCCAAUUGGCAGGAAAAGCAGACGAGAAGGCUGAUGGAUUAAAUAAAACAUCCCAGGGUGUCACAGCUCCCUGAAGCGCAAGGUAUAAGACCAGAGUUCCUCUGCCCAACUGACAGCAAGGCAAACAGGGAAAGUGAAUUCUCCUCUCAUGUUAAAGGGCCCCAAAUGUGAUAAUUACAUACUUGUUAGCCCUGUAAAAUAACAAAUCUGGAAUCUACACUCUGGAACCAAUGGAUUUCCUGCUGAAAUGAGUUCAAGAGGUGCCCUGACCAGCAUUCCCGGACCCAGAAUUAUCUGGAUCAUCCUUUCAGCUCAUCUCACUGAGUCUCUGGACACUCUAUCAGUGACAAAAUGCUAUUGUAAUUCAACUGGUUAUUAAACAGCACGAUUGAUGAACUCACAAAUUCUCUUAAAACUCUGCCCCACAUCUGGCUGUGUUGGUGGGUCAUAAAACCUCUCAGGUGUUAGAUGCUGUUUCAUUUGGUCUCAGCUUAGCAGAAACCCCCCUCCACCUAAACUGUCCCAACCACCACAGCUGGGCGUGGCGAGUCUCAAUAAACUGUCAUUUGGUGAUCAGAAAGGCAGCAGGAUGGCUCCAUCUUGGACCAACUCUGUUCCCAUCCACUUUGGCCUCAAAUUGCAUCAGGAAGAAGUUCUGAGACCUCCCUGGUGGUCCAGUGGUUAAGAAUCCACGUUCUAAUGCAGGGGAUGCAGGUCUGAUCUCUGGUUGGGGGACUUAAGAUCCCAAGUGCUGCAGGGCAACUAGCCCACAUGUGACAACUACAGAGCCUGAGCACCACAACUAGAGAAGCCCACGUGCCACAAGAGAAGACUGUGCGCUGCAACUAGAGAAAGCCUGUGUGCCGUGAAUAAGACCCAGCGCAGCCAAAAAAAAAUCCAUUAAAAAAAAAGAAGUCCUGACCUUCCCUUGGGAGAAGGAGAUGUGCAUCUAAUGGUUCCAGUUUUGGUAUGUUAGCUGAAGAACAACUAUGAGAUAGCUGGUGGGAACCAUGGACCUGAGCAUAAAAUUUUGAUCUGCCACUGAUAUCCACAUUGGACAAAUGGCAGCCUUCUGUGGCCUCAGUCUCUCUCUGAUAAUACGGAUAAUAAUUGUGUCUCCUUCCUGGGGUUGUUGUGAGGGUCAAGUAAAUCAAUAGACAGAGAAUACGUUAGACAGUGCCUGGCAUGCUACAUGACGCUACC